GUGCUGCCUUGGCAGGAACUAAUUAACCUCAGGGAGAGUAUGUGCUGCCCUGGCAGGAACUAAUUAACCUCAGGGGGAGUAUGUGCUGCCCUGGCAUGAACUAAUUAACCUCAGGGAGAGUAGGUGCUGCCCUGGCAGGAACUAAUUAACCUCAGGGAGAGUAGGUGCUGCCUUGGCAGGAACUAAUUAACCUCAGGAAGAGUAGGUGCUGCCUUGACAGGAACUAAUGGACCCCAGGAAGAGUAGGUGCUGCCUUGACAGGAACUAAUGGACCCCAGGAAGAGUAGGUGCUUCCUUGACAGGAACUAAUGGACCCAGGAAGAGUAGGUGCUGCCUUGGCAGGAACUAAUGGACCACAGGAAGAGUAGGUGCUGCCUUGGCAAGAAAUAAUGGACCACAGGAAGAGUAGGUGCUGCCUUGGCAGGAACUAAUUGAACUCAUUAAGAGUAGGUGCUGCCUUGGCAGGAACUAAUUGACCUCAGAAGAGUAGGUGCUGCCUUGGCAGGAACUAAUUAACCUCAGAAGAGUAGGUGCUGCCUUGGCAGGAACUAAUUAACCCCAGGAAGAGUAGGUGCUGCCCUGGCAGGAACUAAUUAACCCCAGGGAGAG